UAAUUGAAGAGUUUGAUCAUGGCUCAGAUUGAACGCUGGCGGCAGGCCUAACACAUGCAAGUCGAGCGGCAGCACAGAGGAACUUGUUCCUUGGGUGGCGAGCGGCGGACGGGUGAGUAAUGCCUGGGAAAUUGCCCGGUAGAGGGGGAUAACCAUUGGAAACGAUGGCUAAUACCGCAUAACCUCGUAAGAGCAAAGCAGGGGACCUUCGGGCCUUGCGCUACCGGAUAUGCCCAGGUGGGAUUAGCUAGUUGGUGAGGUAA
rnacentral:rRNA from 1 species